CCUGAUUAAUGCUGCCAAUAGCAUAUGCUUGUCUCAAAGAUUAAGCCAUGCACGUGUAAGUACACUCGCAGUGAAACAGCAAAUGGCUCACUAAAUCAGUUAUGGUUCCUUUGAUCUCUCCAUCUGUUACGUGGAUAACUAUGGAAAUUCUAAAGCUAAUACAUGCCGACAAGCGCUGACCUCCAGGGAUGCGUGAAUUUAUCAGACCAAGGCCAAUGCAGGCAUGCCCGGCCACUUUAGUGACUCUAGAUACCCUUGGGCCGAUCGUAUCUCCCUGUGACAGCAACAAUGCUUUCGGAUGUCUACCCUAUCAACUUUCAAUGGUACUUUCUGUGCCUACCAUGGUGACAACGAGUAAGGGGGAAUCAGGGCUCGAUUCCCGACAGGGAGCCUAAGAAAUGGCUACCAAAUCCAAGGAAGGCAGCAGGUGCGCAAAUUACCCACUCCCGACUCAGGGAGGCAGUGACAAAAUAUAGCAAAACCGGACUCUUUCAAGGCCCUGUAAUUGGAAUGAAUACACUUUAAAUCCUUCAACGAGGAUCCUUUGAAGGGCAAGUCUAAUUCCAGCAGUAAUUCCAGCUCCAAUAGCGUGUAUUAAAGUUGCUGCAAAAUGUUCUUAGUCAGAUCUUGGAAUCAAGCUAGUGGUCCACCGUGAGGCGAGCUACCGCCUGUCCCAGCCACUGCCUCUCGGUACCCCCUUGAUGCUCUUGAUCGAGUCUAAUUGGGUCUGAAGAUUUUACUUAGAAAAAAAAUAGAGUGUUUAAAGCAGGACAGUCACCUGAAUACUUCAGCUAGGAAUAAUGGAAUUGGACACUGGCUAUAUUUUGUUCGUUUUUGGAACUGGGGCCAUGAUUAAGAGGGAUGGCUGGGGAAAUUCGUAUUUUACCACUAGAUGUGAAAUUCUCGGACCAACGCAAGAUGAGCCAAAGCAUUUGCCAAGAAUGUUUUCAUUAAUAAAGAACAAAAGUCGGAGGUUCAAAGUCGAUCAGAUACCGUUGUAGUUCCGACCAUAAACGUUACCCACUGCUGACCCAGCAGUGUUAUUCUCAUGAUCCGCUGAGCAGCAUCUGGGAAACCAAAGUCUUUGGGUCCCGGGGGAGUAUGGUUGCAAAGCUGAAACUUAAAGGAAUUGAUGGAAGGGCACCACCAGGAGUGGAGCAUGCAGCUUAAUUUGACUCAACACAGGAAACCUCACCCAGCCCGGAGACGGAAAGGAUUGACUGAUUGACAGCUCUUUAUUGAUUCUGUGGUGGUGCAUGGCCGUUCUUAGUUGGUGGAUUGAUUUGUCCGGUUAAUUUGAAUAACAGACAAGACUCCUCCAUGCUAACUAGUUACGCAACCCCCAGUGGUCGGCAUUCAACUUCUUAGAGGGACAAGACAAGUGGUGUUCAGCCACACGAGAUCGAGCAAUAACAGGUCAAUGAAGUCCUUAGAUGUCGGGGGUUGCACAUGUGCUACACUGAAUGGAUCACCCUGUGAUCACCCUUUUCAAUGACAGGUGCAGAUAACCAUCUGAACCCACUCGUGAUAGGGAUUGGGGAUUGCAAUUAUUUCCCAUGAACAGGGAAUUCCCAGUAAGUGCGGGUCAUAAGCUUGUAUUGUUUAAGUCCCUGCCCUUUCUACACACCGCAUAUCACUACUACCGAUUGGAUCGUGUAGUGAGAUCCUCGGAUCAGCCCCACCGGGCUCAGCAAUGUCCCUGGAAGAGUACAGCGAAGACUAUCAAACCUAACUAUCUAGAGAAAGUAAAAGUUGUAACAAGGUUUCGGUAGGUGAACCUGCGGAAA
rnacentral:rRNA from 1 species